rnacentral:rRNA from 1 species
GAUGAACGCUAGCGGCAGGCUUAAUACAUGCAAGUCGUGGGGCAGCAUGAGUAGCAAUACUUGAUGGCGACCGGCAAACGGGUGAGGAACACGUACACAACCUUCCUUCAAGCGGGGAAUAGCCCAGAGAAAUUUGGAUUAAUACCCCAUAAUAUAUUUGAUAAGGCAUCUUAUUAAUAUUAAAGCUUCGGCACUUGAUGAUGGGUGUGCGGCUGAUUAGAUAGUUGGCGGGGUAACGGCCCACCAAGUCUACGAUCAGUAGCUGAUGUGAGAGCAUGAUCAGCCACACGGGCACUGAGACACGGGCCCGACUCCUACGGGAGGCAGCAGUAAGGAAUAUUGGACAAAUGGACGAAAGUCUGAUCCAGCCAUGCCGCGUGAAGGAUUAAGGUCCUCUGGAUUGUAAACUUCUUUUAUAUGGGACGAAAAAAGGGCAUUCUUGUUCACUUGACGGUACCAUAUGAA